AAGAAAAAGACAUAAAAACACCUCAAAAAAUUCUUGAAUCUCACCUAUUAACCUAGAAUAUUGAUACGAAUAAAAUAUCAAAAAUUCGCAUUUUUUCGUGACUGACCGAAAAAUAUCAAAAAAUUUAUAGAAAAUGGCCAAAUACCCCAAACCCAUAUUCGAAUUUCCAACUACACACUUCAAUUUCACGAGGGACCUAUCACCCCCUUGAAAUUUUUAAAAUUGAAAUUUCUAUCUCCCUAAACGCUUACAAAUAUUAAAAUAUUAUUUCUAAUAUAUUUUUCAUAAAUAUAUGUACUUUUAUUUAUUAUUCCUUUUUUUCCUAAUUCUUUUUAUCUCUUUUAAUUUGUUUUAUUCUUCAUAGCAACUUGAUACAACAUAUAUGGGAAGCAUCAAAUUUCAUCACCAUUUUGAAAUCAUCGCCAACACUACGUCAAUCAUACACCACAAAUCGUAUUAGCAAUUUCACCCACCAAUUUCCACAAUCAAGAAUUAUGUACCAAAAAUAUUUCAAAUCAAAGCAAAAUUAAGCUUGAAUAAGGAUACCCAAUUGUUUUUCUUCGAUAAACUUUGAAUAUUAAGAAACUUUUUCAUCACAUAUUCAAUACUCAUCAGACCCAUAGAAAUUUUCCUCAACUCUAUAUUCAAUACUCAAUAGACCCAUAGAAAUUUUCCUCAACUGAUUUUAAUAUCUGGUCAUUUUUCUACAAAUAAAUCUAAAAAAAUGUAACACCCGUUCUUUAUCUUCUUCGGCCCAUUGCUCUGAAAAUUUGAUGUAAAAUCACCUAUAUUCUUCUCAAAAUCGCCCAUAAAUUCUGAAUAUAAGCCUUUCUCGAUUUCGAUUCCUUUGAAAUAUUACCCACUCAAAAUGGAGCUCGUUUGUGGCAAAUCGAAUUUCGAACUCAAGCUUUUGAACUAUCUUUAAUGGAGGUUUCAAGUUGGUGCUUCACAUUUUAAAUUAUGAGCUUCAGUCUUCAGCCAUACCGAACCUUCCAACCAUCAACGAAAGCAGCUCCCAAAUCAAGAAUAUAGAUCCAAUAAUUUCAUAUGGAAGCUCAUCGAUUUCCAUGGAGUUUCGGCUAUUCUUCAAAUCUAAAGAUCUUAGCCAUGAACUCAGACAAACUCAUCAUGUUUAGCUUCAAAUAAUUACCAACCAUCUAUGUUAUCAACAAGUUUCAAAUUUGAAGAUCCAAAAUACAUCCAUAAAUUUUGGCAUUGUGACCUUUAACGAUUUUUGCAUUGUGACCUUUAACUAGACAAUAAAUCAGAAAGGAAAAAGAAUAAAAAAAAGUUUUUAAUAAAAUUUCCACCUGUCAACGCGUGGGCUUCACCGGCCAGCAUAAAUGUGAUUGUGACGUUUUAGAGGUGUAAUAAUAUCAAACUUAAAUAGUUCAAGGGGGUGAUAGGAUCCCCGUAAAGUUAAAGUGUGUAGUUGGAAAUCCAAAUAUAGGUUAGAGGGACAUUUGACCAUUUUCUCAAAAUUUUAAUUCUUAAACAUCCGAAAAAUAUAAAAUUCAAGAAAAAGAUAUAAAAGCACAUCAAAAAAUUCCUAAGUCGCACCAAUCACCUUAGAAUAUCUAUACGAAUAAAAUAUCAAAAUUUCAAAAAAAUUCGUGAUAGCCUGAAAAAUACCAAAAAUUUUAAUACGUAAACAUCAGAAAAAUAUAAAAAAUAAGAAAUAGACAUAAAAACACCUCAAAAAUUCACGAAUCAACCCAGUCACCUUAGAAUAUCGAUAAGAAUAAAAUAUCAAAAUUUCUCAUUUUUUCAUAACUGCCCGAAGAAUAUCAAAAGCUUUAAUUGGUAAACGUCCGAAAAAUAUAAGAAUAAAAAAAAAACACCUCAAUAAAUUCUUGAAUCGCAC
rnacentral:lncRNA from 1 species